CACCUUUUUGUUUUCUAGAAGUUAAUCUUACCAUUCUUUCCUGUCUCUUCGCCUUUAGUUAUCCUUAAGGAAACCAAUGGGAAAGAGAACUUAGAAAAGAACAUCCUUAGACUGCGGAAGGAUCAGAAAGAGUCAGUGUUGAAGUUUUUGGUGACAUGGAACACAAACUCUCGAAACUGCCAUGAGGCUCAGGCUGUCCUUGAAACCCUCCUAAAGCACGAAGCGCCAGAGUGUCUCCUGCAGUAUGAAGGGAUUAAAACUGCUGUGGAAUCCCUUCUGCCUUACACCGAGCGCCAUUUCCAGAGACUCGGCCGCUUAUUGCAAGCCUCUAUGUUCAUCGAUUUCAUGUGGCAAAAUAUGAGACUAGCAGAUGUGUCAAAAUGGGAAGAGGACAUGAGUCUGUGACCUUUUAUAUGCUGUUUGCAGUAUACUGAGGGGAAUGACUGGCGAGCCAAGGACACGCACACUGACUGCAG